rnacentral:rRNA from 1 species
ACGUAGGGGGCAAGCGUUGUCCGGAAUGAUUGGGCGUAAAGGGCGCGUAGGCGGCCUUCUAAGUCCGAUGUGAAAGUCCUGCUUUUAAGGUGGGAAUUGCAUUGGAAACUGGAGGGCUUGAGUGCAGGAGAGGUAAGUGGAAUUCCCGGUGUAGCGGUGAAAUGCGUAGAGAUCGGGAGGAACACCAGUGGCGAAGGCGACUUACUGGACUGUAACUGACGCUGAGGCGCGAAAGUGUGGGGAGCAAACAG